GUCUAUGGCCAUGCCACCCUGAACAAGCCCGAUAUCUAAUCUCAGAAGCUAAGCAGGGUUGAGCCUCAUUAGUACUUGGAUGGGAGACCACCUAGGAAGACCAGGUGCUGUAGGCA
rnacentral:rRNA from 1 species